rnacentral:rRNA from 1 species
UCUGGUGGUAAUGACAUGAAGGUAACACCCGUACCCAUACCGAACACGAAGGUUAAGCUUCAUAGUGCUGAUGGUACUGCAGGGGAAGCUCUGUGGGAGAGUAAGUCGCUGCCAGGU